AAACUUAGGACCGUUAUCAAUGAGUGAACAGAAAAUGAACAAAACCUCUAACAUAAAGGGAGAGUCACCCACAUGGUAGAAAAGCAGGUUUUCCCAAGGCUGCAAGGACCAAUCCUCCCUGAGAUUCGACAGCUCUCUGCCCCUCUAGUUGCCACGCUAGACCAGCAACCUCCUCUUCCACGUUUGGUUCUGCCCCAGUCUGACACUACUAGAAAGCCUAGCCUGGUAUAAGAAAUCAGAUGGCAUUAGUCAGCACACAAUGACCUGCGGUUCAGAAGAACUCUGAGUUGAAGAAAAAAAGCUAACGAGAGAUUUGAAAACCACCAUGGAUAACCCAACCUGUGAUUGAUCAAGUGGUUAACACAGAAAAACCGAAAAGGACCAGCUUGAGUCAGAAGCUCACCACUGACCAGUCCACCGUGUGAACUGUGGUGAUAAUAGAGAAAUGAUGGAGUUGGUGAGAGUCAUAUAAAGAAAGAGGCAGUGCCCACUGGAAGCUUGAGCCAUUACCAAAGGCAAGGAGACACCGCUCCCAAAAAAGGACGGAGACUACUGCUGGAUAGCAACAAAGACGAUCUACUACAGAUGAAAAAGAUGAGGCACCAAGAGAUGAAGAAAUCUGCUCAAAGUCCCAUGACAAGCAUCUGACAGAGGCGUAUUCUGAGACAGAAGCACUGAGAAUUCUAUGCCUUAACCACUAUGUUAUCCUGUCUUGCAGAUCAUUAUUGAUCACAAAAUAGAAAAAAACAACAGGAUGUUUUUGGUAUUAACAACCCAAAGAUGUACACAGUUUAUAUUAGAACAUUCUAUGUUUCUAAUUCUGUAUUUCCAAUCUAAAAAUUGAAUAGACAUGCCCCGUCCCCACCAUCACCCAACCUCCCCCCAAAAUUACCUUCCUCAGAAUUCAAUAUUGCCUUUGGCUACAAUAUCUGAUAAAGGACCUAUGAGGGUCCAACACAAGGUUACUCAACACUUGAUCUAUAUCUCCACUAACCCACAUUCCUUCACAUCGUUUAAGUUCAAAUCCCCACCACAAAUUGUUGUAAUUUCCAAGCAUGCCUUGAUCUGAAAUGUACAUCCUACAGAGUUGCACUGAAUAAUGUGGUCUAUGUAGCAAAGUCAAAAAUUACUUCUUAGCAUCUUUUACUAUAUGUUAGAUUCUUAAAGAUUUAGACAAAAUCAUUCACAAUAUUAACAACAACAGGUGUCAUUUUGUAACUCUAGUUUUUAUUUAGAAAAAUGAGUAGAAUUUUUGGUUUCAUGAUGGCAAAGUAAGGCAUUUUUGCUCCCUUCUGCUCUCAAAAUUCUGAAACCACAAAGACAGGGAACAAAAACACAAACUCCAGCUUUAGUGAAAUGAAGAAGUGACUAUAAUCCAACAUUUGAAGAUGGAAAGCAGAUGGAGGAAACAUUUUAGCAAAGAGGAGAAAAGUCAAGCCAAUGACUACAAAAAGCAAGCCAAUUUGCCCCUAGAAAUGCUUACGAAAUGGAGAUGCUGGGUACUUUGGAAGAUGAAAGUAGUUGCUAAAAUGAAGGGAUUUUUAGACUCUCAAUCACCGGUGGCCUGCAGCUGGUUUGUACCAGCUUGCAAGAGUGAACUCUGCAGUGACCUCAUGUUGGUAGUUUGAAAUCAACUAUAGUGUGAAUAUUUGGAGAAGCUGGCAAAUGCUACAAAUCAGAGUUUUGUUUUGUUUUUUUUAAAGAGCUAGUUGUUAAACAUUUACCAGCACACAACAGCUCCCAAGUCCUGACCUUCAUCACCCACUAGAAAUCUGAUGUUGAUUUUCCAGUAAACGGGAACAAUGGCACAGCAGUCACGAAAGCGGGCAAGUGAAAGGUACAAUGCUGAAAGUAAAGUGUAACAUGUGAAAAUCUGUAAAUGACCACAGAAUUCCUUUAACUCCAAACAUCACCCUCCUGAUGCAUUCCCCUUGUCAAGAGAUUGAGGAUCCUUCUCUGGUGAAACUAAACUGCUCAAGAGAAAAGAUUUAUGUAUAAUGAUACUUUGUGGGUGAGUAGGCCCCUCAACAAAGGAUCUAGCUAACUCGUCUGAUCAUCUUACAGUGAACUAGUUCACUUAGACAUGCAAAGUCUAAAAAUUAAUUUCCCAAACACACUUUUUCAAGAAGCCACUACAAGUUAUGCCUUACCCAAACCAAAAAAUAAACCAAAAAAGGAAGAGGACAUGGAUUUAGGAAACAUGAAGAGAGGCAGUGGGCAUUCCCAGAGUGACAGCUGUGCCUCAAGCCCUGUGAACGCAGUGCACACUGGAGCAGGAGGCAGAGGGCUCCAAGAAGCAGGAGAAAAAGGAAAUUCGCAAAUUAUCUGGCUGCUUGACCAUACAGAAUACUGUACUGAGGGAUAUUUUGCAGAACUGUUAGAGGGUAUUGGAAGACAUAGCAUCCAAGAACAUUAAAGGGGGGAAAAUAAGGCAAUUAUUAACCCCAGCUAAAAAUAACAACAAAAAAAGAGAAAAGAAAUACAGUCAUACAGAUCAUUCAACUGUGGAAAACAUUUACAUAGUCAUAAGAAGAUACUGGGGAAAGAUAUAACUACACAUUUAGACAUAAUAAAUUAUAUACGGAGGAAGUAAAGUUUUUUUACUUCACUACAUAAACCAAAUUAUAUAGUGCAGCUUUGUAGUGUUUACUACAUGUGUUUACAUUUCAGAGCAGGGCACACUUGGAAAUAACUGCAAUUUAGGUAGGAUUUUGAACCUAAAGAGGAAGUAGGUAUAAAUAAGUAAAGAUCCUCAUACAGCCUAAUAAAAAUGAUUAAUCGAGAGUCAUAUUAUUUUCAAAUAAGGAAGUAAAUGCCAGAACAAAUAGCUAAAAACAUAGAAGCAGUCUUCUAGUAAGUGAAACAAGGUGGUAAGAGAAGAGAAACAAGAAUAUUUUUUUUGAUAUAUGCUCUAUAAGAAUAUUUGACUUAAACAUUUUCAUAUAAUACUUUCACCAUAACACUUAAUUUAAAUAAUUAAAAAAUAAAGAAAAAUAAAAUAGUUUAUAAAUUAUGGGCAACUCCAGAGACUGUGGUAAUUAUUGAUAUUCUAGUAAGAAUGAGAUUCCU